rnacentral:tRNA from 2 species
GGGGAUGUACCUCAGUGGCAGAGUGUUUGCCUAGUAUGCACAAGGCCCUAGGUUCGAUCCAAGCAUCACGA